AGUGUUGUAUUGCUUGUGUGAUGGUGUAGUGCAGCUGAUUGAUAUGAGUAACCAAAAUGUGAUGGUGCUGUGCAGCUGAUUGGCAUUGACAUCGGCCAAUCGGCACGUAGCACCGCCUUUUUAAACCUGAUUGGUCGGUGCUUGGGAUACGUCACGUCCGACUCCGACGCACUGGUUUGGGUGUCUGUAGCCGCGGCUACAGGUAGAGGCUCUGCGCCCGUUCUGAAUUUUGUAAGUUGUUUGAAUCGACCCACGUUAAGCUCUCUUUUGGCAUUGUUUUAGUGCAUCGUGUGGCGGUGGCUUUUCCCUUGGCUGUGGUGGCUGGAUGACUGUUCAGUUGCAGCUAUUAAUUCCGGCACCUCGCUGUAUUAUAUCGACCAACGAGUGAUUUAGAACGUGUCUGAGUGUGCGCCCAUUGGUAAGUGAAGCACGUAUGAUGUGGUGUGAUCAUUUAAAGGACCAUGUUAAUGGGCUUGUUUGCGCUUUUCCUCCUUAGGAUCCUCCCUUUUCCCCUUUCUUUCUCUCUUACGUCGGAUCUUCCUCGGGUAUCAUUUGCUUACUAGCUCCCGUGUUCAUCGCUAUUGCCGUGGUUACCGGAGACCGUCUGCAACUGCUGCUAAUGCUAACGGCGGCGUAUUGGCUGCCGCUUGGACACCACCAAUGCAGCUGCUAGCGGGGACUGCCUGCAAUAACUCUUAGCGUGCUGCUUUGUGCUCCCCUUCAUUCUUUCAUUUGUUUAUUUGUGUUGGAUAAUUGAUUUGUCAACAUAAGCAUUCUUCUGUUUUUUUGUUGUGUCUAUUUAUGCAAAGUAUUGAUUUUGUUUUUCGUUAUUAAGAGUAUUCUUUGGUGAAUUUAGUCUUUCUAGUAACAGUUAAUGUUGGGUCUAGUGUAGGUCAGAUGGUGUAAAUACAGCUGUAGCUAUCUUUCAAUUAGAUCAUGUAAAGUAGGUGUUAACCUGAUUGACCCACUUAUUUGUGUUUUGUUGGUUAUUGAUUUUUAUUUUUAUUUAUUUCAGGAACUGAGGUUUCCCCCGGUGGAUGACGGGUCACUUUCCACUGGUGGUGGUGUUUCUCUAUCGUGUGCUGUGGACACUGAGUGCGUGAUAGCGUGAUUUUUGAGUGCACUGUGGUGUGUGCGUGUGCUGGGGUAAAGUCUGUCCACUCGUACCCAGUCAGUGGGAACCUCCAAUCCUGGUUUGGUUUUGUUUAUUUAUUGUUUCUUGUGUUUAAUAAUGAAGUGGGAGUUUUUGAUGUAUUUUUAAGAACCGUACCAUUUGGUAGUUUUAUUCCAAAUAAAUAUUUUUGUACUUUUUCAUUAA